UGGAAAAUGGCCCACUUCCCACUGGCAAAAACUCAUGAAAUUUGGCAGGACGACCGGGCCUGGUGAAAAAUUUGAUAUUCCGAAGUCGCCCAAACAAGAAAAUGCAAAAUGGCUCCAUAGCGCCCCCUAAGGUGAAAAUUCACACUAUUCACUGUCACGCCUGUACGCUUUGUCAAAAUGACACAAAAAUUGACACACACAUGUAUCUCAAUAAGAUCUACAAAAAAGUCAGUGCGGGCGUAUCUGUCAAAUGUACGGUUAAAGGGUUAUUUCGCAUUUUUUGCCGAUCCGCACACAUUGGAAUUUCGCUAACUCCUCCGAAGGCUUUCGUUCCACCGGCACCACAUUUGCUCAGGCCAAUCUACACCCCAUGGCCAUUAAAAGUUAUUCAAAUCAUGACGCUGCACCCCACGGUUUAGGUUCUAGGGGGCGCCAAAGAUAACCCUAAGAUCCACAUAUUUAAAAGUCUUAUAACUUUUUAUUUUUGCCCUCACUGGCCUCCAAGUUUUCUAGGAUGAUGCAAUGUCCAGCCAUCAACACAUUUGUGAAGGAAUUUUUACUCCCCAAAAGAGCGCCCCCCCAUGGCAGGAGAAAAAAGUCCAUUUUUUCUUGUCCUCUAAGGUGAAAAUACACAUUGUUGAGUGUAACACCUGUACGCUUUGGCAAAAUGACACAAAAAUUGACACACACAUGUAUCUCAAUAAGAUCUACGAAAAAGUCAAUGCGCACGUAUCUGUUACAUGUACGGUUAAAGGGUUAUUCCGCAUUUUUUGCCGAUCCGCACACAUUGGAAUUUCGCUAACUCCUCCGAAGGCUUUCGUUCCACCGGCACCACAUUUGCUCAGGCCAAUCUACACCCCAUGGCCAUUAAAAGUUAUUCAAAUCAUGACGCUGCACCCCACGGUUUAGGUUCUAGGGGGCGCCAAAGAUAACCGUAAAAUCCACAUAUUUAAAAGUCUUAUAACUUUUUAUUUUUGUCCCCACUGGCCUCCAAGUUUUCUAGGAUGAUGCAAUGUCCAGCCAUCAACACAUUUGUGAAGGAAUUUUUACUCCCCAAAAGAGCGCCCCCCAUGGCAGGAGAAAAAAGUCAAUUUUUUCUUGUCCACUAAGGUGAAAAUACACAUUGUUGAGUGCUACGCCUGUAUGUUUUGUCGUAUUGACACAAAAUUUUACAUACACGUGUAUUUCAAUAAGAUCUACGAAAAAGUCAAUGGCCACGUAUCUGUAAAAUGUACGGUUAAAGGGUUAUUUUGCAUUUUUUGCAGAUUCGCACACAUUGGAAUUUCGCUAACUCCUCCGAAGGCUUUUGUUCCACCGGCACCACAUUUGCUCAGGCCAAUCUACACCCCAUGGCCAUUAAAAGUUAUUCAAAUCAUGACGCUGCACCCCACGGUUUAGGUUCUAGGGGGCGCCAAAGAUAACCCUAAAAUCCACAUAUUUAAAAGUCUUAUAACUUUUUAUUUUUGUCCUCACUGGCCUCCAUGUUUUCUAGGAUGAUGCAAUGUCCAGCCAUCAACACAUUUGUGAAGGAGUUUUUUCUCGUUAAAAGAGCGCCCCCCCUGGCAGGAGAAUAAAGUCAAGUUUUUCCUGUUCAUCAUUCAAUGGCUCAAACGCACUGCUCUCUCGGCAAAAGCGAAAGGAGGAGCAACUUGCCAUUUGGAUAUAUCUUAGCUGUGUUUGUGCCCUCACUCAUGGUCCAGACUUUUUUCAAAUAGGACAUGGAGUUUUUCUGCAGCGAGCGCUUUGGUAGAAACUGCGCCUCCCGUUCAUUAUAAUGGUAAAUGACCACAAACAAGUGCGCACACCAUCUUUGGACCUUGAGUGUGACGCGAUCGGGUGGGGGAGGCGGUCGCGCUGGGGGCGGCGUGACACGGCUCGGGCCCGCCAGUGCCCCAACGGGGCCCUAGUUUCUUCUUUUUCCUCCCCUUUGAACUGGAAAAUGGCCCACUUCCCACUGUCGAAAACUCAUGAAAUUUGGCAGGACGACCGGGCCUGGUGAAAAAUUCGAUAUUCUGAAGUCGCCCAAACAAUAAAAUGCAAAAUGGCUCCAUAGCGCCCCCUAAGGUGGAAAUUCACACUAUUGACUGUCACGCCUGUACGCUUUGUCAUAUUGACACAAAAAUUGACACACAUAUGUAUCUCAAUAAGAUCUACAAAAAAGUCAGUGCGGCCGUAUCUGUCAAAUGUACGGUUAAAGGGUUAUUUCGCAUUUUUUGCCGAUCCGCACACAUUGGAAUUUCGCUAACUCCUCCGAAGGCUUUCGUUCCACCGGCACCACAUUUGCUCAGGCCAAUCUACACCCCAUGGCCAUUAAAAGUUAUUCAAAUCAUGACGCUGCACCCCACGGUUUAGGUUCUAGGGGGCGCCAAAGAUAACCCUAAAAUCCACAUAUUUAAAAGUCUUAUAACUUUUUAUUUUUGCCCUCACUGGCCUCCAAGUUUUCUAGGAUGAUGCAAUGUCCAGCCAUCAACACAUUUGUGAAGGAAUUUUUACUCCCCAAAAGAGCGCCCCCCAUGGCAGGAGAAAAAAGUCCAUUUUUUCUUGUCCCCUAAGGUGAAAAUUCACACUAUUGACUGUCACGCCUGUACGCUUUGUCAAAAUGACACAAAAAUUGACACACACAUGUAUCUCAAUAAGAUCUACAAAAAAGUCCAUGCGCGCGUAUCUGUCUAAUGUACGGUUAAAGGGUUAUUUCGCAUUUUUUGCCGAUCCGCACACAUUGGAAUUUCGCUAACUCCUCCAAAGGCUUUCGUUCCACCGGCACCACAUUUGCUCAGGCCAAUCUACACCCCAUGGCCAUUAAAAGUUAUUCAAAUCAUGACGCUGCACCCCACGGUUUACGUUCUAGGGGGCGCCAAAGAUAACCCAAAAAUCCACAUUUUUAAAAGUCUUAUAACUUUUUAUUUUUGUCCUCACUGGCCUCCAAGUUUUCUAGGAUGAUGCAAUGUCCAGCCAUCAACACAUUUGUGAAGGAAUUUUUACUCCCCAAAAGAGCGCCCCCCCCAUGGCAGGAGAAAAAAGUCAAUUUUUUCUUGUCCCCUAAGGUGAAAAUACACAUUGUUGACUGUCACGCCUGUACGCUUUGGCAAAAUGACACAAAAAUUGACAAUCAUGUGUAUCUCAAUUAGAUCUACGAAAAAGUCAAAGAGCGCGUAUCUGUAUAAUGUACGGUAAAAGUGCUAUUUUGCAUUUUUUGCCGAUUCGCACACAUUGGAAUUUCGCUAACUCCUCUGAAGGCUUUCGUCCCACUGACACCAAAUUUGCUCAGGCCAAUCUACACUCCAUGGCCAUUCAAAGUUGUAAAAAUCAUGACGCUGCACCCCACGGUUUACGUUUUAGGGGGCGCCAAAGAUGACCCAAAUAUACAUUACAGUAGACAAAGUAGUUUUGCCCACUGAGUGGCGCCAAAGGGACUUGUCUGUGGAGUCUGUGAGUCACUAUUGGCCGUUUUUGACUACUUUAGAUUUUACCUUUAUAUUUCCUCUUACAAAAUUUUUACCUUGCCUUGCCUGGUAUCAUUUUUUUCAGCACAACCUCACCUGUGUCAAUUUACAGUUAUUUUAUCAUUUUGACAUACUAUAUUUACACAUUGGACCCAAAUUCACACACAAAACAUAAAAUCCGAGUGGAAAAAAGUAACGUUUUUACUGUGAAAACCACAAAUAUGUGUGAUGAACUGUUUUUAAAACUUAAACUUCAAAUAAAAAUUGUAAACUUCAAAACAUAUGCAAAUUUUUAACAAAGAACAUAGUAAUUUACCUCUAUUGACAUCAAAAUGCAGGCAAUGGCCCAGGUGUUCUUUGUAAAAUUAUUUACAAAACACUGUAUAGUCUCACAAAUGUCACUUUUUAUUUAUGCCACUACAAAAAAACAUGAUGUAAAUGAUGCAUGAUGUAAAACAUGAUGUAAAAAACUUGUGUAGAUCCUCCUCUAUGUUAGUCCAUGUGUAAUUUUUCCAUAAUUCUUUGUUUUUUGCAGCAUUUUUGUUAGUGUAACUGCAGAUUGUGCUGACAGUGUCUAUGGCAAAAAAAAAAAAACAAACUGAAAAUGCCUCAACAUGAACCCCUGGUGGUCUCUGAGGGUGAAACCUGCUAACUGCUGCAGCUCUGUCAGCUUCAGUCUCCCAUGCAGAGCUCGGAGCGCAUGUGUGGCUCUGCACCCUUAGCAGCGUUGCUAACUCCUCAGUAAGGAAAGCCUGCUUCAUGUCAGAGUCUCUAAACUCCAGAAGAAGUCGAUAAAAGUCCCUUUCUUUCUAAAAAAAAGUCGUUAGGGGGUCUGAAAAGUCAUUGAAUCUAACAACAAAGUCGCUAGGUUUGCAACUACGUGUCCCAGACUGCAUCCCUGCUGAGAGUCCCUCCCUCCCUUCUCAUAUUGCAGGAAGAACGUAAGUUCUCGCCCCUUGUCAAUCAGUCACCAUAUAAUUUUGGAUUGGUUGUUGUGGUGAAGUUUUCCACCAAUAGGAGAGAUGUUGUGGUGUGUAUUUUUUUCCUUUGGCAAGCCUUUUCCGCCUGUAAGACCUGUCGCUAAUGUCUGCAUGCUAUGUUUUCCUGUCUCAUACAGCGCGAUCGAGCGCCGAACGUGAUCAAAAUAAGCAGAAAACAAGUAUCGCGGACAUAAUUUAUCAUAACUCUGGUUUUAUUUGGCCUAUCAACACAAUUUAAAAACUGGUAUAUAGGUUGAGGUCCUCACUUUUGAGAUAAAUUGAAACGGAGAGUCAACGAGGCUCCGUCUUGCAGCUACAUCCGGUUAAAUAUGUCAUGUGACUUGAACGCACACACACACACACACACACAGACACACACACACACACGCACACACACACACUCAGAGUCUGGUUUGUAGCACCUGCAAAAACAUGCUAUUUACAUAUUUGACAAGAAUGCAGAGGCUCCUUUUGCCCCUGAAAAAAAUCAAAUUUCAAACACAACUUGACUGGUCAUUUCUCCAAAAGACAACCAUGAAGCUCCAUCCAAACCUGAAGCAGGCAGUUGGUGCAUGUGUACAGUAACCUGAGGGGAGUGAGGUGACUGCUUCUGAGGAGAACAUGAGCAGUGAAGAUUUACCUUAGAGCUAGAACAGAGACGUGCACAUGAUUAUACAGGGGCAGGGGCUCAAGUUUUUUCCAGUCGUUUAUACAAUUUGGAAAUUAAUGUGAAAUUAAAAAACAAAGUAUUAAUAGAAAGGUAAUGACUGUCCUGUGUAGGUGACAGUGAUAUCCAAUAGGCUAGGCACUCACGAGGCUGGCUGUGGCAAGUGUAAGUGAAAGCAACACGCACUGGCAGGAAGAACAGCAAACGCCGAUGAAGGAAAAGGGUCUUUGCAGUGAUGGGCGUUACCAAAGAGGGCGAUGGCCAGAGGACACAAAUGGGACGGGGAGGCAGCGCGUUGGGGGGGGGACGCGACACAGCUCGGGCCCGCCAGUGCCCCAACGGGGUCCUAGUUAUUAGGGCCCGAGCGUAGCUGCUAAGCAGCUGCGAGAGCCCUCUUGUUCCUGCAUGUUUCCUUCUUUUGUUAUUAUUAUUAUUUUUCCUCCCCUUUGAACUGGAAAAUGGCCCACUUCCCACUGGCGAAAACUCAUGAAAUUUGGCAGGACGACCGGGCCUGGUGAAAAAUUUGAUAUUCCGAAGUCGCCCAAACAAGAAAAUGCAAAAUGGCUCCAUAGCGCCCCCUAAGGUGAAAAUUCACACUAUUGACUGUCACGCCUGUACGCUUUGUCAUAUUGACACAAAAAUUGACACACGUAUGUAUCUCAAUAAGAUCUACAAAAAAGUCAGUGCGGGCGUAUCUGUCAAAUGUACGGUUAAAGGGUUAUUUCGCAUUUUUUGCCGAUCCGCACACAUUGGAAUUUCGCUAACUCCUCCGAAGGCUUUCGUUCCACCGGCACCACAUUUGCUCAGGCCAAUCUACACCCCAUGGCCAUUAAAAGUUAUUCAAAUCAUGACGCUGCACCCCACGGUUUAGGUUCUAGGGGGCGCCAAAGAUAACCGUAAAAUCCACAUAUUUAAAAGUCUUAUAACUUUUUAUUUUUGCCCUCACUGGCCUCCAAGUUUUCUAGGAUGAUGCAAUGUCCAGCCAUCAACACAUUUGUGAAGGAAUUUUUACUCCCCAAAAGAGCGCCCCCCCAUGGCAGGAGAAAAAAGUCCAUUUUUUCUUGUCCCCUAAGGUGAAAAUACACAUUGUUGAGUGUAACACCUGUAUGCUUUGGCAAAAUGACACAAAAAUUGACACACACAUGUAUCUCAAUAAGAUCUACGAAAAAGUCAUAGCGCGCGUAUCUGUCAAAUGUACGGUUAAAGGGUUAUUCCGCAUUUUUUGCCGAUCCGCACACAUUGGAAUUUCGCUAACUCCUCCGAAGGCUUUCGUUCCACCGGCACCACAUUUGCUCUGGCCAAUCUACACCCCAUGGCCAUUAAAAGUUAUUCAAAUCAUGACGCUGCACCCCACGGUUUAGGUUCUAGGGGGCGCCAAAGAUAACCGUAAAAUCCACAUAUUUAAAAGUCUUAUAACUUUUUAUUUUUGUCCCCACUGGCCUCCAAGUUUUCUAGGAUGAUGCAAUGUCCAGCCAUCAACACAUUUGUGAAGGAAUUUUUACUCGCCAAAAGAGCGCCCCCCAUGGCAGGAGAAAAAAGUCCAUUUUUUCUUGUCCACUAAGGUGAAAAUACACAUUGUUGAGUGCUACGCCUGUAUGUUUUGUCGUAUUGACACAAAAUUUUACAUACACGUGUCUUUCAAUAAGAUCUUCAAAAAAGUCAAUGGCCACGUAUCUGUCAAAUGUACGGUUAAAGGGUUAUUUCGCAUUUUUUGCAGAUUCGCACACAUUGGAAUUUCGCUAACUCCUCCGAAGGCUUUCGUUCCACCGGCACCACAUUUGCUCAGGCCAAUCUACACCCCGUGGCCAGUAAAAGUUAUCAAAAUCAUGACGCUGCACCCCAAGGUUUAGGUUCUAGGGGGCGCCAAAGAUAACCCUAAAAUCCACAUAUUUAAAAGUCUUAUAACUUUUUAUUUUUGUCCUCACUGGCCUCCAAGUUUUCUAGGAUGAUGCAAUGUCCAGCCAUCAACACAUUUGUGAAGGAAUUUUUACUCCCCAAAAGAGCGCCCCCCCAUGGCAGGAGAAAAAAGUCCAUUUUUUCUUGUCCCAUAAGGUGAAAAAACACAUUGUUGACUGUCAUACCUGUACGCUUUGUCAUAUUGACACAAAAUUUGACAAUCACAUGUAUCUCAAUAAGAUCUACGAAAAAGUCAAUGCGCGCGUAUCUGUAAAAUGUACGGUUAAAGGGCUAUUUUGCAUUUUUUGCCGAUUCGCACACAUUGGAAUGUGGCUAACUCCUCCUAAGGCUUUCGUCCCACUGACACCAAAUUUGCUCAGGCCAAUCUACACCCCAUGGCCAUUCAAAGUUGUAAAAAUCAUGACGCUGCACCUCACGGUUUACGUUCUAGGGGGCGCCAAAGAUGACCCAAAUAUCCACAUUCUUAAAAGAAUCCACAUCCCCCCCAUCCCCCAUCCCCCAUGGCAGGAGAAACAGUCAAGUUUUUCCUGCCCAUCACUCAAUGGCUCAAUCGCAUCACUCUCCCGGCAACACUGUAACGAGGAGCAACUUGCCGUUUGGAUAUAUCCUAGCUGUGUUUGUGCCCUCACUCAUGGUCCAGACUUUUUUCAAAUAGGACAUGUAGUUUGUCUGCAGCGAGUGUUUUGGUAGAAACUGCGCCUCCCAUUCAUUAUAAUGGGAAAUGACCACAGACAAGUGCGCACACCAUCUUUGGACCUUGAGUGUGACGCGAUCGGGAGGGGGAGGCGGUCGCGCUGGGGGCGGCGCAACGCGGCUCGGGCCCGACAGUGCCCCACCGGGGUCCUAGUUAUUAUUUUUCCUCCCCUUUGAACUGGAAAAUGGCCCACUUCCCACUGGCGAAAACUCAUGAAAUUUGGCAGGACGACCGGGCCUGGUGAAAAAUUUGAUAUUCCGAAGUCGCCCAAACAAGAAAAUGCAAAAUGGCUCCAUAGCGCCCCCUAAGGUGAAAAUUCACACUAUUCACUGUCACGCCUGUACGCUUUGUCAAAAUGACACAAAAAUUGACACACACAUGUAUCUCAAUAAGAUCUACAAAAAAGUCAGCGCGGGCGUAUCUGUCAAAUGUACGGUUAAAGGGUUAUUUCGCAUUUUUUGCCGAUCCGCACACAUUGGAAUUUCGCUAACUCCUCCGAAGGCUUUCGUUCCACCGGCACCACAUUUGCUCAGGCCAAUCUACACCCCAUGGCCAUUAAAAGUUAUUCAAAUCAUGACGCUGCACCCCACGGUUUAGGUUCUAGGGGGCGCCAAAGAUAACCCUAAAAUCCACAUAUUUAAAAGUCUUAUAACUUUUUAUUUUUGCCCUCACUGGCCUCCAAGUUUUCUAGGAUGAUGCAAUGUCCAGCCAUAAACACAUUUGUGAAGGAAUUUUUACUCCCCAAAAGAGCGCCCCCCCCAUGGCAGGAGAAAAAAGUCCAUUUUUUCUUGUCCCCUAAGGUGAAAAUUCACACUAUUGACUGUCACGCCUGUACGCUUUGUCAAAAUGACACAAAAAUUGACACACACAUGUAUCUCAAAAGGAUCUACAAAAAAGUCCAUGCGCGCGUAUCUGUCUAAUGUACGGUUAAAGGGUUAUUUUGCAUUUUUUGCCGAUCCGCACACAUUGGAAUUUCGCUAACUCCUCUGAAGGCUUUCGUUCCACCGGCACCACAUUUGCUCAGGCCAAUCUACACCCCAUGGCCAUUAAAAGUUAUUCAAAUCAUGACGCUGCACCCCACGGUUUACGUUCUAGGGGGCGCCAAAGAUAACCCAAAAAUCCACAUUUUUAAAAGUCUUAUAACUUUUUAUUUUUGUCCUCACUGGCCUCCAAGUUUUCUAGGAUGAUGCAAUGUCCAGCCAUCAACACAUUUGUGAAGGAAUUUUUACUCCCUAAAAGAGUGCCCCCCCAUGGCAGGAGAAAAAAGUCCAUUUUUUCUUGUCCCCUAAGGUGAAAAUACACAUUGUUGACUGUCACGCCUGUAUGCUUUGGCAAAAUGACACAAAAAUUGACAAUCAUGUGUAUCUCAAUUAGAUCUACGAAAAAGUCAAAGAGCGCGUAUCUGUAUAAUGUACGGUAAAAGGGCUAUUUUGCAUUUUUUGCCGAUUCGCACACAUUGGAAUUUCGUCCCACUGACACCAAAUUUGCUCAGGCCAAUCUACACUCCAUGGCCAUUCAAAGUUGUAAAAAUCAUGACGCUGCACCCCACGGUUUACGUUUUAGGGGGCGCCAAAGAUGACCCAAAUAUACAUUACAGUAGACAAAGUAGUUUUGCCCUCUGAGUGGCGCCAAAGGGACUUGUCUGUGGAGUCUGUGAGUCACUAUUGGCCGUUUUUGACUACUUUAGAUUUUACCUUUAUAUUUCCUCUUACAAAAUUUUUACCUUGCCUUGCCUGGUAUCAUUUUUUUCAGCACAACCUCACCUGUGUCAAUUUACAGUUAUUUUAUCAUUUUGACAUACUAUAUUUACACAUUGGACCCAAAUUCACACACAAAACAUAAAAUCCGAGUGGAAAAAAGUAACAUUUUUACUGUGAAAACCACAAAUAUGUGUGAUGAACUGUUUUUAAAACUUAAACUUCAAAUAAAAAUUGUAAACUUCAAAACAUAUGCAAAUUUUUAACAAAGAACAUAGUAAUUUACCUCUAUUGACAUCAAAAUGCAGGCAAUGGCCCAGGUGUUCUUUGUAAAAUUAUUUACAAAACACUGUAUAGUCUCACAAAUGUCACUUUUUAUUUAUGCCACUACAAAAAAACAUGAUGUAAAUGAUGCAUGAUGUAAAACAUGAUGUAAAAAACUUGUGUAGAUCCUCCUCUUUGUUAGUCCAUGUGUAAUUUUUCCAUAAUUCUUUGUUUUUUGCAGCAUUUUUGUUAGUGUAACUGCAGAUUGUGCUGACAGUGUCUAUGGCAAAAAAAAAAAAAAAACUGAAAAUGCCUCAACAUGAACCCCUGGUGGUCUCUGAGGGUGAAACCUGCUAACUGCUGCAGCUCUGUCAGCUUCAGUCUCCCAUGCAGAGCUCGGAGCGCAUGUGUGGCUCUGCACCCUUAGCAGUGUUGCUAACUCCUCAGUAAGGAAAGCCUGCUUCAUGUCAGAGUCUCUAAACUCCAGAAGAAGUCGAUAAAAGUCACUUUCUUUCUAAAAAAAAGUCGUUAGGGGGUCUGAAAAGUCAUUGAAUCUAACAACAAAGUCGCUAGGUUUGCAACUACGUGUCCCAGACUGCAUCCCUGCUGAGAGUCCCUCCCUCCCUUCUCAUAUUGCAGGAAGAACGUAAGUUCCCGCCCCUUGUCAAUCAGUCACCAUAUAAUUUUGGAUUGGUUGUUGUGGUGAAGUUUUCCACCAAUAGGAGAGAUGUUGUGGUGUGUAUUUUUUUUCCUUUGGCAAGCCUUUUCCGCCUGUAAGACCUGUCGCUAAUGUCUGCAUGCUAUGUUUUCCUGUCUCAUACAGCGCGAUCGAGCGCCGAACGUGAUCAAAAUAAGCAGAAAAAAAGUAUCGCGGACAUAAUUUAUCAUAACUCCGGUUUUAUUUGGCCUAUCAACACAAUUUAAAAACUGGUAUAUAGGUUGAGGUCCUCACUUUUGAGAUAAAUUGAAACGGAGAGUCAACGAGGCUCCGUCUUGCAGCUACAUCCGGUUAAAUAUGUCAUGUGACUUGAACGCACACACACACACACACACAGACACACACACACACACGCACACACACACACUCAGAGUCUGGUUUGUAGCACCUGCAAAAACAUGCUAUUUACAUAUUUGACAAGAAUGCAGAGGCUCCUUUUGCCCCUGAAAAAAAUCAAAUUUCAAACACAACUUGACUGGUCAUUUCUCCAAAAGACAACCAUGAAGCUCCAUCCAAACCUGAAGCAGGCAGUUGGUGCAUGUGUACAGUAACCUGAGGGGAGUGAGGUGACUGCUUCUGAGGAGAACAUGAGCAGUGAAGAUUUACCUUAGAGCUAGAACAGAGACGUGCACAUGAUUAUACAGGGGCAGGGGCUCAAGUUUUUUCCAGUCGUUUAUACAAUUUGGAAAUUAAUGUGAAAUUAAAAAACAAAGUAUUAAUAGAAAGGUAAUGACUGUCCUGUGUAGGUGACAGUGAUAUCCAAUAGGCUAGGCACUCACGAGGCUGGCUGUGGCAAGUGUAAGUGAAAGCAACACGCACUGGCAGGAAGAACAGCAAACGCCGAUGAAGGAAAAGGGUCUUUGCAGUGAUGGGCGUUACCAAAGAGGGCGAUGGCCAGAGGACACAAAUGGGACGGGGAGGCAGCGCGUUGGGGGGGGGACGCGACACAGCUCGGGCCCGCCAGUGCCCCAACGGGGUCCUAGUUAGGGCCCGAGCGUAGCUGCUAAGCAGCUGCGAGAGCCCUCUUGUUCCUGCAUGUUUCCUUCUUUCGUUAUUAUUUUUCCUCCGCUUUAAACUGGAAAAUGGCCCACUUCCCACUGGCGAAAACUCAGGAAAUUUGGCAGGACGACCGGGCCUGGUGAAAAAUUCGAUAUUCUGAAGUCGCCCAAACAAUAAAAUGCAAAAUGGCUCCAUAGCGCCCCCUAAGGUGAAAAUUCACAUGACGGCUGUACGCUUUGUCAUAUUGACAGAAAAAUUGACACACACGUGUAUCUCAAUAAGAUCUACAAAAAAGUCAGUGCGGGCGUAUCUGUCAAAUGUACGGUUAAUGGGUUAUUUUUCAUUUUUUGCAGAUCUGCACACAUUGGAAUUUCGCUAACUCCUCCGAAGGCUUUCGUUCGACCGGCACCACAUUUGCGCAGGCCAAUCUACACCCCAUGGCCAUUAAAAGUUGUACAAAUCAUGACGCUGCACCCCACGGUUUACGUUCUAGGGGGCGCCAAAGAUAACCCAAAAAUCCACAUUCUUAAAAGUCUUAUAACUUUUUACUUUUGUCCUCACUGGCCUCCAAGUUUUCUAGGAUGAUGCAAUGUCCAGCCAUCAACACAUUUGUGAAGGAAUUUUUACUCCCCAAAAGAGCGCCCCCCAAUGGCAGGAGAAAAAGGUCCAUUUUUUCUUGUCUCCAAAGGUCAAAAUACACAUUGUCGAGUGUCACGUUUGUAUGCUUUGUCAUAUUGACACAAAAUUUGACAAUCACAUGUAUCUCAAUAAGAUCUACGAAAAAGUCAGAGGGCAUGUAUCUGUCAAAUGUACGGUUAAAGGGCUAUUUUGCAUUUUUUGCUGAUCCGCACACAUUGGAAUUUCACUAACUCCUCCGAAGGCUAUCUUUCCACCGGCACCAAAUUUGCUCAGGCCAAUCUACACCCCAUGGCCAUUAAAAGUUGUACAAAUCAUCUUGCUGCACCCCACGGUUUGGGUUCUAGGGGGCACCAAAUAUAACCCAAAAAUCCACAUUCUUAAAAGUCUUAUAACUUUUUAUUUUUUUCCAUACUGGCCUCCAAGUUUUUUAGGAUGAUGCAAUGUCCAGCCAUCAACACAUUUGUGAAGGAAUUUUUACUCCUCAAAAGAGCGCCCCCCCAUGGCAGGAGAAAAAAGUCCAUUUUUUCUUAUCCCGAAAGGUGAAAAUACACGUUGUUGAGUGUCACGCCUUUACGCUUUGUCAUAUUGACAAAAAAAUUGACAAUCAUGUGUAUCUCAAUUAGAUCUACGAAAAAGUCAAAGCGCGCGUAUCUGUAUAAUGUACGGUUAAAGGGCUAUUUUGCAUUUUUUGCCGAUUCGCACACAUUGGAAUGUGGCUAUCUCCUCCUAAGGCUUUCGUCCCACCGAUACCAAAUUUGCUCAGGGCAAUCUACACCCCAUGCCCAUUCAAAGUUGUAAAAAUCAUGACGCUGCACCCCACGGUUUACGUUCUAGGGGGCGCCAAAGAUGACCCAAAAAUCCACAUUCUUAAAAG